CGGGACGGGUGAGUAAUGUUUGGGGAAACUGCCUGAUGGAGGGGGAUAACUACUGGAAACGGUAGCUAAUACCGCAUAACGUCGCAAGACCAAAGAGGGGGACCUUCGGGCCUCUUGCCAUCGGAUGUGCCCAGAUGGGAUUAGCUAGUAGGUGGGGUAACGGCUCACCUAGGCGACGAUCCCUAGCUGGUCUGAGAGGAUGGCCAGCCACACUGGAACUGAGACACGGUCCAG
rnacentral:rRNA from 1 species